GAACGCAGGUGAGUGGCGGGUGUGGCUUCCGCGGGCCGCCGAGCUGGAGCUCCUGCUCCGAGCAGGCCUGGCCCCGCUGUCGUCGGCGGGGAUUAGCUGCGAGCAUUCCCGCUUCGAGUUGCGGGCGGCGCGGAAGGCAGAGUGCGAGGCCUAGCGGCAACCCCGUAGCCUCGCCUCGUGUCCGGCUUGAGGCCUAGCGUGGUGUCCGCGCCGCCGCCGCGUGCCACUCCGGCCGCACUCUGGUCUUUCUUUUUUUUUUUUUUUUUUUUUUAUUGCCCUGCUGCCUUCGAUUGCCGUCCAGCAAUAGGGGCUAACAAAGGGAGGGUGUGGAGCUUGCUCGCCCGGAGCCCGGAGAGCUCAUGGUUGGGGAGGAAUGGAGGGACAGGAGUGGCGGCUGGGGCCCGCCCGCCUUCGGAGCACAUGUCCGACGCCACCUGGAUGGGGCGAGGCCUGGGGUUUUUCCCGAAGCAACCAGGCUCGGGGUUACCGUGCCGAGGCCAUGUGGCCCCAGCACCCGGCACGAUCUGGCUUGGCGGCGCCGCGUUGCCCUGCCUCCCUAACUAGGGUGAGGCCAUCCCGCCCGGCACCAGUUGCGUGCGCGGAAAGAUGGCCGCUCCCGGGCCCUGUUGCAAGGAGCUCAAAAUGGAGGACGCGGCAGCCCGGUGGAGCGGGCGGGUGUUGUGAAAACCACCGCUAAUUCAAAGCAAAAAUGGGAAAGGAAAAGACUCACAUCAACAUCGUCGUAAUCGGACACGUAGAUUCCGGCAAGUCCACCACAACCGGCCACCUGAUCUACAAAUGUGGUGGAAUCGACAAGCGAACCAUCGAAAAGUUUGAGAAGGAGGCUGCUGAGGCAAGUAUAAGGCAAAAGGAGGGAUGGGAAUUCUUUAAGCAGGGAGUAGAACCUAGGUCUUAGGUGUACUAAUUAGAAGUCACUUUGCAGAUGGGAAAGGGCUCCUUCAAGUACGCCUGGGUCUUAGACAAACUGAAAGCUGAGCGUGAGCGUGGUAUCACUAUUGACAUCUCCCUGUGGAAAUUCGAGACCAGCAAAUACUAUGUGACCAUCAUUGAUGCCCCAGGACACAGAGACUUCAUCAAAAACAUGAUUACAGGCACAUCCCAGGUGUGUAAAAUUUACCCAUUCCUGACUCAGGAUAUUUUUUAGUGGGGUGCUUUCUCUCUGAGAUAUGGUAUAUGAUUGUCUUGUUUCUUACAGGCUGACUGUGCUGUCCUGAUUGUUGCUGCUGGUGUUGGUGAAUUUGAAGCUGGUAUCUCCAAGAACGGGCAGACCCGAGAGCAUG
rnacentral:lncRNA from 1 species